rnacentral:rRNA from 1 species
CCUACGGGAGGCAACAGUAGGGAAUUUUGCGCAAUGGGCGAAAGCCUGACGCAGCAACGCCGCGUGAUCGAGACGCCCUUCGGGGUGUAAAGAUCUGUCAGUGGGGACGAAACUUGACGGUACCCACAGAGGAAGCACCGGCUAACUCCGUGCCAGCAGCCGCGGUAAUACGGGGGGUGCAAGCGUUGUCCGGAAUCAUUGGGCGUAAAGAGUUCGUAGGCGGCACGUAAAGUCUGGUGGUAAAGGCAGAGGCUCAACUUCUGUACGGCACUGGAUACUUGCGAGCUAGAGUGCGGUAGAGGUAAAGGGAAUUCCUGGGGUAGCGGUGAAAUGCUUAGAUAUCAGGAGGAACAUCGGUGGCGUAGGCGCUUUACUGGGCCGUAAUUGACGCUGAGGAACGAAAGCCAGGGUAGCAAAUGGGAUUAGAUACCCCAGUAGUC